CACUAGGUGUGGGGAACAUUCCACGUUUUCCGCGCCGUAGCUAACGCAUUAAGUGCCCCGCCUGGGGAGUACGGCCGCAAGGCUAAAACUCAAAGGAAUUGACGGGGGCCCGCACAAGCGGCGGAGCAUGCGGAUUAAUUCGAUGCAACGCGAAGAACCUUACCAAGGCUUGACAUACACCGGACCGGGCCAGAGAUGGUCUUUCCCCCUUGUGGGGCUGGUGUACAGGUGGUGCAUGGUUGUCGUCAGCUCGUGUCGUGAGAUGUUGGGUUAAGUCCCGCAACGAGCGCAACCCUCGUUCUAUGUUGCCAGCACGUGAUGGUGGGGACUCAUAGGAGACUGCCGGGGUCAACUCGGAGGAAGGUGGGGAUGACGUCAAAUCAUCAUGCCCCUUAUGUCUUGGGCUUCACGCAUGCUACAAUGGCCAGUACAAUGGGUUGCGAUGCCGCGAGGUGGAGCUAAUCCCAAAAAGCUGGUCUCAGUUCGGAUCGUGGUCUGCAACUCGACCACGUGAAGUCGGAGUCGCUAGUAAUCGCAGAUCAGCAA
rnacentral:rRNA from 1 species